rnacentral:misc_RNA from 1 species
GAUGAAGAACGUAGCAAAAUGCGAUACUUGGUGUGAAUUGCAGAAUCCCGUGAACCAUCGAGUUUUUGAACGCAAGUUGCGCCCGAAGCCUUUUGGCCGAGGGCACGUCUGCCUGGGCGUCACGCAUCGCGUCGCCCCCCACAAUUCUCCGUAAAGGGAACAUGUGUUUUGGGGGCGGAUAUUGGUCUCCCGUGCUCAUGGCGUGGUUGGCCGAAAUAGGAGUCCUUUCGAUGGACGCACGAACUAGUGGUUGUCGUAAAAACCCUCGUCUUUUGUUUCGUGCUGUUGCUCGCAAGGUAAACUCUUUAAAAACCCCAAUGUGUCGUCUCUUGACGACGCGUCGACCGCGACCCCAGGUCAGGCGGGACUACCCGCUGAGUUUAAGCAUAUCAAUAAGCGGAGGA